CCAACGGCCCUCUUUAGGGCCACAUGAGAUGCAGAUGCAAUACUCCG
rfam:Angiostrongylus cantonensis strain Taiwan genome assembly, scaffold: ACAC_contig0004128